rnacentral:rRNA from 1 species
CAGCAGUGGGGAAUAUUGCACAAUGGGGGAAACCCCUGAUGCAGCCAUGCCGCGUGUGUGAAGAAGGCCUUCGGGUUGUAAAGCACUUUCAGUAGGGAGGAAAGGGUGUAAGUUUAAUACGCUAUAUCUGUGACGUUACCUACAGAAGAAGGACCGGCUAACUCCGUGCCAGCAGCCGCGGUAAUACGGAGGGUCCGAGCGUUAAUCGGAAUUACUGGGCGUAAAGCGUGCGCAGGCGGUUUGUUAAGCGAGAUGUGAAAGCCCUGGGCUCAACCUAGGAAUAGCAUUUCGAACUGGCGAACUAGAGUCUUGUAGAGGGGGGUAGAAUUCCAGGUGUAGCGGUGAAAUGCGUAGAGAUCUGGAGGAAUACCGGUGGCGAAGGCGGCCCCCUGGACAAAGACUGACGCUCAUGCACGAAAGCGUGGGGAGCAAACAGGAUUAGAUACCCUGGUAGUCCACGCCGUAAACGAUGUCUACUCGGAGUUUGGUGUCUUGAACACUGGGCUCUCAAGCUAACGCAUUAAGUAGACCGCCUGGGGAGUACG